rnacentral:rRNA from 1 species
UUAAGCGACUAAGCGUACACGGUGGAUGCCCUGGCAGUCAGAGGCGAUGAAGGACGUGCUAAUCUGCGAAAAGCGCCGGCGAGGUGAUAUGAACCUUUGACCCGGCGAUGUCCGAAUGGGGAAACCCAGUGCAAUCCGUUGCACUAUCGUUAACUGAAUACAUAGGUUAACGAGGCGAACCGGGGGAACUGAAACAUCUAAGUACCCCGAGGAAAAGAAAUCAACCGAGAUUCCCCCAGUAGCGGCGAGCGAACGGGGAGCAGCCCGGAGUCUGAAUCAGCUUGUGUGUUAGUGGAACGGUCUGGAAAGUCCGACGGUACAGGGUGAUAGUCCCGUACACGAAAGCACACUUGCUGUGAACUCGAAGAGUAGGGCGGGACACGUGGUAUCCUGUCUGAAUAUGGGGGGACCAUCCUCCAAGGCUAAAUACUCCUGACUGACCGAUAGUGAACCAGUACCGUGAGGGAAAGGCGAAAAGAACCCCGGCGAGGGGAGUGAAAAAGAACCUGAAACCGUGUACGUACAAGCAGUGGGAGCCUCUUUAUGGGGUGACUGCGUACCUUUUGUAUAAUGGGUCAGCGACUUAUAUUCUGUAGCAAGGUUAACCGUAUAGGGGAGCCGAAGGGAAACCGAGUCUUAACUGGGCGUUAAGUUGCAGGGUAUAGACCCGAAACCCGGUGAUCUAGCCAUGGGCAGGUUGAAGGUUGGGUAACACUAACUGGAGGACCGAACCGACUAAUGUUGAAAAAUUAGCGGAUGACCUGUGGCUGGGGGUGAAAGGCCAAUCAAACCGGGAGAUAGCUGGUUCUCCCCGAAAGCUAUUUAGGUAGCGCCUCGUGAACUCAUCUUCGGGGGUAGAGCACUGUUUCGGCUAGGGGGCCAUCCCGGCUUACCAACCCGAUGCAAACUACGAAUACCGAAGAAUGUUAUCACGGGAGACACACGGCGGGUGCUAACGUCCGUCGUGAAGAGGGAAACAACCCAGACCGCCAGCUAAGGUCCCAAAGUCAUGGUUAAGUGGGAAACGAUGUGGGAAGGCACAGACAGCCAGGAUGUUGGCUUAGAAGCAGCCAUCAUUUAAAGAAAGCGUAAUAGCUCACUGGUCGAGUCGGCCUGCGCGGAAGAUGUAACGGGGCUAAACCAUGCACCGAAGCUGCGGCAGCGACACUAUGUGUUGUUGGGUAGGGGAGCGUUCUGUAAGCCGUUGAAGGUGUGCUGUGAGGCAUGCUGGAGGUAUCAGAAGUGCGAAUGCUGACAUAAGUAACGAUAAAGCGGGUGAAAAGCCCGCUCGCCGGAAGACCAAGGGUUCCUGUCCAACGUUAAUCGGGGCAGGGUGAGUCGACCCCUAAGGCGAGGCCGAAAGGCGUAGUCGAUGGGAAACAGGUUAAUAUUCCUGUACUUGGUGUUACUGCGAAGGGGGGACGGAGAAGGCUAUGUCAGCCGGGCGACGGUUGUCCCGGUUUAAGCAUGUAGGCGGAGGUUCCAGGUAAAUCCGGUACCUUUUAACGCUGAGGUGUGAUGACGAGGCACUACGGUGCUGAAGUGAUAAAUGCCCUGCUUCCAGGAAAAGCCUCUAAGCAUCAGGUAACACGAAAUCGUACCCCAAACCGACACAGGUGGUCAGGUAGAGAAUACCAAGGCGCUUGAGAGAACUCGGGUGAAGGAACUAGGCAAAAUGGUGCCGUAACUUCGGGAGAAGGCACGCUGAUGUGUAGGUGAAGCCCCUGCGGGUGGAGCUGAAAUCAGUCGAAGAUACCAGCUGGCUGCAACUGUUUAUUAAAAACACAGCACUGUGCAAACACGAAAGUGGACGUAUACGGUGUGACGCCUGCCCGGUGCCGGAAGGUUAAUUGAUGGGGUUAGCGGCAACGCGAAGCUCUUGAUCGAAGCCCCGGUAAACGGCGGCCGUAACUAUAACGGUCCUAAGGUAGCGAAAUUCCUUGUCGGGUAAGUUCCGACCUGCACGAAUGGCGUAAUGAUGGCCAGGCUGUCUCCACCCGAGACUCAGUGAAAUUGAACUCGCUGUGAAGAUGCAGUGUACCCGCGGCAAGACGGAAAGACCCCGUGAACCUUUACUAUAGCUUGACACUGAACACUGGUCCUUGAUGUGUAGGAUAGGUGGGAGGCUUUGAAGCGUGGACGCCAGUCUGCGUGGAGCCAACCUUGAAAUACCACCCUUUAAUGGCUGGUGUUCUAACGUAGACCCGUAAUCCGGGUUGCGGACAGUGUCUGGUGGGUAGUUUGACUGGGGCGGUCUCCUCCCAAAGAGUAACGGAGGAGCACGAAGGUUGGCUAAUCCUGGUCGGACAUCAGGAGGUUAGUGCAAUGGCAUAAGCCAGCUUGACUGCGAGCGUGACGGCGCGAGCAGGUGCGAAAGCAGGUCAUAGUGAUCCGGUGGUUCUGAAUGGAAGGGCCAUCGCUCAACGGAUAAAAGGUACUCCGGGGAUAACAGGCUGAUACCGCCCAAGAGUUCAUAUCGACGGCGGUGUUUGGCACCUCGAUGUCGGCUCAUCACAUCCUGGGGCUGAAGUAGGUCCCAAGGGUAUGGCUGUUCGCCAUUUAAAGUGGUACGCGAGCUGGGUUUAGAACGUCGUGAGACAGUUCGGUCCCUAUCUGCCGUGGGCGCUGGAGAAUUGAGGGGGGCUGCUCCUAGUACGAGAGGACCGGAGUGGACGCAUCACUGGUGUUCGGGUUGUCAUGCCAAUGGCACUGCCCGGUAGCUAAAUGCGGAAGAGAUAAGUGCUGAAAGCAUCUAAGCACGAAACUUGCCCCGAGAUGAGUUCUCCCUGAGAC